UUGGGAGAAUGUAUAGUCCUCUUUGAGGCUAGUUAGCUAUUGAUAUGUCGGCAUAUAAGUCUACCAGGAGCGGGUGACGUCGCCAUUGAGAUCUUGAUGUUUAUCGCGAACCCACCCCCCUGUCUUUUUUUUGAAAAAGGGGCACGCGGGUGGCGGAGGGGUAUUUGAAGCUAAUACCGACUUUGUUGGAUAAAGUUCUAGAUAGAAUACUGAUUAUGACAAUUUUCUAUCUAUAUGUCUUGACCAAAUUACGUGCCAGCAGUCGCGGUAAUACGUAGAAGACUAGUGUUAUUCAUCUUUAAUAGGUUUAAAGGGUACCUAGACGGCAUUACUAACCAAAUAGGAAAUAGUUUUGCUAGAGUUUGAUAUGAGAAGGGGAGUAUUUAAGGUGUAGAGUUGAAAUUCUGUCAUACUUUAAGGACUGGUAAAGGCGAAAGCAACCUUUUAUGUAAAAACUGACGUUGAGGGACGAAGGCUUGGAUAGCGAACAGGAUUAGAUACCCUAGUAGUCUUUGCAGAGAAUGAUGAAUGCCAUAGACUAGAUAUUAAUUUGGUCUAUAAAUGAAAGUGUAAGCAUUCCACCUCAAGAGUAAUGUGGCAACGCAGGAACUGAAAUCAUUAGACCGUUUCUGAGAACAGUAGUGAAGUAUGUUAUUUAAUUCGAUAACCCUCGAAAAACCUUACCACAACUUGAAUGCGCCACAUGUAAGGCUAAAGGCUACAUAAUUUAGUUAAAGUGAGGGGUGUAUAAAGAGAGUAUUUACUGUAUAAAUAAAUUACUCUCUUUAUACACUCCUUCCAUCGGUGGUGUACAAGCGUUGCACGGUUGUCUUCAGCUAAUGUCGUGAGAUUUUGGUUAGUUCCAUAAAAUUAGCGUAAACCCCGGCUUUAUUUUUAAAUUACUAUCAUAGAGCAGUUCACUCAUUAUAUCGAAUACAUGAUAA
rnacentral:rRNA from 1 species